GAAGGGGGCUAGCGUUGCUCGGAAUCACUGGGCGUAAAGCGCACGUAGGCGGAUCAUUAAGUCGGAGGUGAAAUCCUGGAGCUCAACUCCAGAACUGCCUUCGAUACUGGAGAUCUUGAGUCCGGGAGAGGUGAGUGGAACUGCGAGUGUAGAGGUGAAAUUCGUAGAUAUUCGCAAGAACACCAGUGGCGAAGGCGGCUCACUGGCCCGGUACUGACGCUGAUGUGCGAAAGCGUGGGGAGCAAACAGGAUUAGAUACCCUGGUAGUCCACGCCGUAAACGAUGGAUGCUAGCCGUUGGCGAGCUUGCUCGUCAGUGGCGCAGCUAACGCAUUAAGCAUCCCGCCUGGGGAGUACGGUCGCAAGAUUA
rnacentral:rRNA from 1 species